GAGAAAUUCACUUAAUCUCUGAGAGGACAGACGGCGUACAGCUGCUGAGUCAGUGCCGGGACUUUCUAACGCGCAAGAAGAGUUUCACCAGACAAGCUAAGGAAUGCAGCCAGCCUGAAAAGAAAUCACUCUCCCUACUCUGGCUUACAGGCUCCUGGUAGAACACCGGCUGAUAAGAAGCUAUGGUACAAUGGUUCUCAAUCAAUGUUAAAUGUCAUCAUUCUUCAAGGGCACCUAAGGGUGGAGUGUAUCAUCACGAAUAUCUGAUCCUAUCUACAAACCAUGGUGUGCAAUGAUGGCAGUCUGUCUAGAGAAAGAGAGGAUUGGAAUCUAUCUGCCUACCUACCUAGUCAUAUGGCUCCUAGCAUCAGAGAAUCUGAACACCACCCUAGAACUAAAAUGUAUCUCUCUCACUUUCUUUCCAGCUUUAUAGUGUGUUUUGUUUGGAGGGGAAGGGGACGAGGGCUUAUGUUUGUGUGUACAGUUCACUAUGGAAAAGCUAAGGAUGUGACCAGCGAAUGGAGUAUAUAUUCAGCAGCCCAGAAGUCAGACGCAGUCUUUUCAGCAGCAGAACAGUGUUCAUACGAACAUAAGGACGGCUAUACUGAGUCAGAUCAAUGGUCCUGCUAGCCCAGCACCCUCUCUUCCGACAGUAGCCAA